rnacentral:lncRNA from 1 species
GCCAUAGCCCAUACGAGGAGGGAUCCGGUCCUGACCUGAGCAGAUAGGAUGAGCUUUCGCCCUUUUCCCUGUCUGCUCCCAAAUGUGCAUGCGAUAGAUGGGACGUGGGAUGGAUUAGCAGCCACCUCUCUGCAUGCUUCACUGCACCUAGCUUCUACCCCUAAUUCGAUUUAGCCACGUUAGAAAAUUCAUUUUACAUUGAUUUAUUGUGAGAAAAAAACACCACUGUUCGGUAGAUAAGCUCAAGUGAUACAGUUUUAGAAUAGUGUGCUAUCUUUUACUUCUAGGUUUCACCACAUUUAUUUAAAAAACGUUGAUGCUUAUGAAACUAAAUAAGUAUAUUAAAUUUGUCAUCGAAUAUAUAUAUAUAUAUAUAUCUAUUUAGAAUCUUAAAUGCUGAGACUACUUUCUUAAUACAUAGUCCUACCACUACCUUUGCCGAGUGCCUGGAGCACUCGGCAAUGCCACAUUUGCACUCGGCAAAGGCUUUGCUGAGUGUCGUACUCGGCAAAGGGGCCUGGACAGAGCCCUAUUCGUCAAAAGCUCCUUUGUCGAGUGCCAACCCGGCACUCGGCAAAGAUAGAAACAAAAAAAACCUAAAAAACAAUAAGAAAAAAAUUUGGGGGCGGUCCCCAAAGUUGCAAGUCGCGACAUUUUUUGCGCAAAAUUUCAACUACAUGACCUGUGGGAUUCAAACCCCUCCCUAACCACUGCACCACACUAUCACUUGUGUCUAUAUUAUAUUUCGAUUCCUCAUACUCCCUCCAUACCUAUAAAAAAGUCGUUUUAGAAAGAUUUGGGUCA